UACGUAGGGGGCAAGCGUUGUCCGGAAUUAUUGGGCGUAAAGCGUGUGUAGGCGGUCCGCUAAGUCGGGUGUGAAAGCCCUGGGCUCAACCCAGGAAGUGCACUCGAAACUGGCGGGCUAGAGUAUCGGAGAGGUUGGUGGAAUUCUCGGUGUAGAGGUGAAAUUCGUAGAUAUCGAGAGGAACACCGGUGGCGAAGGCGGCCAACUGGACGAAUACUGACGCUGAGACACGAAAGCGUGGGGAGCAAACAGG
rnacentral:rRNA from 1 species